CCUACGGGCGGCUGCAGUAGGGAAUCUUCCGCAAUGGACGCAAGUCUGACGGAGCAACGCCGCGUGAGUGAAGAAGGAUUUCGGUUCGUAAAACUCUGUUGUUAGAGAAGAACAGCGCAUAGAGUAACUGUUAUGCGUGUGACGGUAUCUAACCAGAAAGCCACGGCUAACUACGUGCCAGCAGCCGCGGUAAUACGUAGGUGGCAAGCGUUGUCCGGAUUUAUUGGGCGUAAAGCGAGCGCAGGCGGUCAAUUAAGUCUGAUGUGAAAGCCCCCGGCUCAACCGGGGAGGGUCAUUGGAAACUGGUUGACUUGAGUGCAGAAGAGGAGAGUGGAAUUCCAUGUGUAGCGGUGAAAUGCGUAGAGAUAUGGAGGAACACCAGUGGCGAAGGCGACUCUCUGGUCUGUAACUGACGCUGAGGCUCGAAAGCGUGGGUAGCAAACAUGAUUAGAGACCCCAGUAGUC
rnacentral:rRNA from 1 species